GAAAAAGUUACAGAAUGUCAUUUUAACGGCCUUCACCGGUCAUUAAACCUUAUACAACUUUCAACAACGGAUCUCUUGGCUCUCCCAUCGAUGAAGAACGCAGCGAAAUGCGAUAAGUAAUGUGAAUUGCAGAAUUCAGUGAAUCAUCGAAUCUUUGAACGCACCUUGCGCCCUUUGGUAUUCCGAAGGGCAUGCCUGUUUGAGUGUCAUUAAAUUAUCAACCUUGAAGGCUUUCGUGGCUUUUCUCGGCUUGGAUGUGAGGGCUUGCUGGCUUCCUUCAGUGGAUCGGUCUGCUCCCUUCAAAUGCAUUAGUGGGAUCUCUUGUGGACCGUCACUGAGUGUGAUAAUUAUCUACGCUCUGUGGCUUUGAAGCAAACUCUAUGGGAACCCGCUCAUAACCGUCCUUCGGGACAACUUCAAUCUUAAUUUGACCUCAAAUCAGGAGGACACCCGCGA
rnacentral:rRNA from 1 species